rnacentral:tRNA from 1 species
GAUUCGCUAGCUCAGCAGGUAGAGCACAACACUUUUUAAUGUUGGGGUCUUGGGUUCGAGCCCCAAGCGGAUCACCA